rnacentral:rRNA from 1 species
GUGAGGAAUAUUGGUCAAUGGGCGGGAGCCUGAACCAGCCAAGUCGCGUGAAGGAAGAAGGAUCUAUGGUUCGUAAACUUCUUUUGCAGGGGAAUAAAGUGCAGGACGUGUCCUGUUUUGUAUGUACCCUGAGAAUAAGGAUCGGCUAACUCCGUGCCAGCAGCCGCGGUAAUACGGAGGAUCCGAGCGUUAUCCGGAUUUAUUGGGUUUAAAGGGUGCGUAGGAGGUUUGAUAAGUCAGCGGUGAAAGUUUGCAGCUUAACUGUAAAAAUGCAGUUGAAACUGUCGGACUUGAGUGUAAAUGAGGUAGGCGGAAUGAGUGGUGUAGCGGUGAAAUGCAUAGAUAUCACGCAGAACUCCGAUUGCGAAGGCAGCUUACUAAGCUACAACUGACACUGAAGCACGAAAGCAUGGGGAUCAAACAGGAUUAGAAACCCCAGUAGUCC